rnacentral:lncRNA from 1 species
GGGGGCGUGGGCGAAGUUCGUCCGCCGGACUCGGAAUGGCCCCAGACUUUGCGGGCGGCCUCCGUGUGCCAAAAUUAGGCCACGGGCACAGCCGCGCCCAAAAAUCAGCCCCCGAAGGUCGGGGCGCCAAGACCCCCCAGCGGAAAAAUGGCCAAAAAACGGGUGGGCUAUAGCCUUGGUGGGGGGCGUGGGCGAAGUUCGUCCGCCGGACUCGGACUGGCCCCAGACUUUGCGGGCGGCCUCCGUUGGCCAAUAUUAGGCAACGGGCACAGCCGCGCCCAAAAAUCAUCCCCCGAAGGUCGGGGCGCCAAGACGCCCCAGCGGAAAAAUGGCCAAAAAACGGGUGGGCUAUAGCCUUGGUGGGGGGCGUGGGUGAAGUUCGUCCGCCGGACUCGGAAUGGCCCCAGACUUUGCGGGCGGCCUCCGUUGGCCAAUAUUAGGCAACGGGCACAGCCGCGCCCAAAAAUCAUCCCCCGAAGGUCGGGGCGCCAAGACGCCCCAGCGGAAAAAUGGCCAACAAACGGGUGGGCUAUAGCCUUGGUGGGGGGCGUGGGCGAAGUUCGUCCGCCGGACUCGGAAUGGCCCCAGACUUUGCGGGCGGCCUCCGUUUGCCAAUAUUAGGCAACGGGCACAGCCGCGCCCAAAAAUCAGCCCCCGAAGGUCGGGGUGCCAAGACCCCCCAGCGGAAAAAUGGCCAAAAAACGGGUGGGCUAUAGCCUUGGUGGGGGGCGUGGGCGAAGUUCGUCCGCCGGACUCGGAAUGGCCCCAGACUUUGGGGGCGGCCUCCGUGUGCCAAAAUUGGGCCACGGGCACACCCGCGCCCAAAAAUCAGCCCCCGAAGGUCGGGGUGCCAAGACCCCCCAGCGGAAAAAUGGCCAAAAAACGGGUGGGCUAUAGCCUUGGUGGGGGGAGUGGGCGAAGUUCGUCCGCCGGACUCGGAAUGGCCCCAGACUUUGCGGGCGGCCUCCGUGUGCCAAAAUUAGGGCACGGGCACAGCCGCGCCCAAAAAUCAGCCCCCGAAUGUCGGGGCGCCAAGACCCCCCAGCGGAAAAAUGGCCAAAAAACGGGUGGGCUAUAGCCUUCGUGGGGGGCGUGGGCGAAGUUCGUCCGCCGGACUCGGAAUGGCCCCAGACUUUGGGGGCGGCCUCCGUGUGCCAAAAUUAGGCCACGGGCACACCCGCGCCCAAAAAUCAGCCCCCGAAGGUCGGGGUGCAAAGACCCCCCAGCGGAAAAAUGGCCAAAAAAAGG